rnacentral:rRNA from 1 species
GACGAACGCUGGCGGCGUGCCUAAUACAUGCAAGUAGAACGCAGUUGCGAACGGGUGAGUAACGCGUAGGUAACUGCUUGGUAGGGGGGGAUCACUAUUAGAAAAGCUAGCUAAUACCGCAUAAUACCAGAUGGACUUGUGUUGUAUUAGCUAGUUGGUGGGGUAACGGCUCCCCAAGGCAACGAGACAGAGCCGACCUGCGGGGGGGAUCGGCCAAACUGGGACUGAGUCACGGCCCAGACUCCUACGGUAGGCAGCAGGAGGGAAUCGUCGGCAAUGGACGGAAGUCUGACCGAGCAACGGCGCGGUAUUGAAGAAGGUUUUCGGAUCGUAAAGCUCUGUUGUAAGAGAAGCGGUAUCUUACCAGAAAGGGACGGCUAACUACGUGCCAGCCGCCGCGGUAAUAC